UAGCGGCGAACGGGUGAGUAACACGUGGGCAACCUGCCCUCAAGACGGGGAUAACUCCGGGAAACCGGAGCUAAUACCAGAUAAUCUUCUUUCUCGCAUGGGAGAGGAGUAAAAGGCUUCGGCCACUUGAGGAUGGGCCCGCGGUGCAUUAGCUAGUUGGUGAGGUAACGGCCCACCAAGGCGACGAUGCAUAGCCGACCUGAGAGGGUGACCGGCCACACUGGGACUGAGACACGGCCCAGACUCCUACGGGAGGCAGCAGUAGGGAAUUUUCCGCAAUGGGCGAAAGCCUGACGGAGCAACGCCGCGUGAGUGAAGACGGCCUUCGGGUUGUAAAGCUCUGUUUUCUGGGAAGAACACAAUGACGGUACCAGAGGAGAAAGCCCCGGCUAACUACGUGCCAGCAGCCGCGGUAAUACGUAGGGGGCAAGCGUUAUCCGGAAUUAUUGGGCGUAAAGCGCGCGCAGGCGGGUGAUUAAGUCAGAUGUGAAAGGCUACGGCUCAACCGUAGAGUGGCAUUUGAAACUGGUCACCUUGAGUGCAGGAGAGGAAAGUGGAAUUCCCGGUGUAGCGGUGGAAUGCGCAGAGAUCGGGAGGAACACC
rnacentral:rRNA from 1 species